rnacentral:rRNA from 1 species
GACGAACGCUGGCGGCGUGCCUAAUACAUGCGAGUAGAACGCACAGUUUAUACCGUAGCUUGCUACACCAUAGACUGUGAGUUGCGAACGGGUGAGUAACGCGUAGGUAACCUGCCUGGUAGCGGGGGAUAACUAUUGGAAACGAUAGCUAAUACCGCAUAAUAUUAAUUAUUGCAUGAUAAUUAAUUGAAAGGUGCAAUUGCACCACUACCAGAUGGACCUGCGUUGUAUUAGCUAGUAGGUGAGGUAACGGCUCACCUAGGCGACGAUACAUAGCCGACCUGAGAGGGUGAUCGGCCACACUGGGACUGAGACACGGCCCAGACUCCUACGGGAGGCAGCAGUAGGGAAUCUUCGGCAAUGGACGAAAGUCUGACCGAGCAACGCCGCGUGAGUGAAGAAGGUUUUCGGAUCGUAAAGCUCUGUUGUAAGAGAAGAACGGGUGUGAGAGUGGAAAGUUCACACUGUGACGGUAGCUUACCAGAAAGGGACGGCUAACUACGUG